CCUACGGGUGGCUGCAGUGGGGAAUAUUGGACAAUGGGCGAAAGCCUGGUCCAGCCAUGCCGCGUGUGUGAAGAAGGCCUUCGGGUUGUAAAGCACUUUCAGUGGGGAAGAAAGCCUUGGGGCUAAUACCCUCGAGGAAGGACAUCACCCACAGAAGAAGCACCGGCUAACUCCGUGCCAGCAGCCGCGGUAAUACGGAGGGUGCGAGCGUUAAUCGGAAUUACUGGGCGUAAAGCGCGCGUAGGCGGUCUGAUAAGCCGGUUGUGAAAGCCCCGGGCUCAACCUGGGAACGGCAUCCGGAACUGUCAGGCUAGAGUGCAGGAGAGGAAGGUAGAAUUCCCGGUGUAGCGGUGAAAUGCGUAGAGAUCGGGAGGAAUACCAGUGGCGAAGGCGGCCUUCUGGACUGACACUGACGCUGAGGUGCGAAAGCGUGGGUAGCAAACAGGAUUAGAUACCCCAGUAGUC
rnacentral:rRNA from 1 species